GGGUGUGCACAAUGAAGUUUAUUGAGCCCCGACUUUGUAAAUCCAUACAAUUAAGUAGUUCUAGGCCCCAAGAUCCCUGGAAUUGCCCUAGUGUCUACAGCUCCUCUUUUGAACUGGUGACUACCUCAUAUUCCUCUCAGUAAAUCCUCCAUUGUGCGUAUGCUAAUGCACACUGGAUUUCUGUAACUCGGUGGCUCCUCUACAUCUACUCAAUCUCAUCUCCCCAAAUCCUGAUAGCAUCCAUCACUUGACAUUCAUUCUCAUACUUCA
rnacentral:lncRNA from 1 species